CUACACCCAAUGUGGGUUGUCAACUCACAACCCCAAGAUCAAGAGUCGCGUGCUCUACCAACGGAGACAGCCAGGCGCCUUGCCAUUACAGAUUUAAUAUCAUUCCUGCCUGCCUUCUUCUAGAUAAGAUUUACUAAGAUUCUGAAUUAUGGUGGCGAGCUCAUCAGGGCUGACUCAUCAAUUAGAUUUAUACGCAUGUGCUCCUCGGAGAUCUAUGACCCUGAUGUGUCACCUGGAAGCUCUGAGAAAUCUGUCCUGCCCGUUCGCUGUCUUGGGGAACCGUGGGGUCAAGAGAGCCAUUUUGAGGGCCAGCUGGGAAGGACAGUGUGACCACUAUCAGGAAGCCUGGAGACCAUACAUGCCUCUGAAGUCCCCAGUCUUUGAAAUCUGUGAGGGCCUUGGCCUAGGAAUUCAGAGAUGUCAAAUACACAUCGGAAACCGUGCGAGGCAUCACUAAUGGAUUACCAGCACCUUCUGCUGCAUGGGGACCCAGCCUCGAGCUCCUUAACACAGCCUUCCAGGCAGCCCCUACCAAUCACCGUGCAUUGGCACUUCUUUCCCACCCCUGGGAUCAGCCCGUCCACUGUCCCCGCAGAAACAUAAUCGGGAAAGGAAGCUGAGUUUUGACGCAGAAGCCCCAGGUUGAGUGCUGGUUUUGCCACUUGCUGACUGUGGCGCAUUGGACUCAUCACGCUACCCGCUGGGGUGCCACUUUGCCCAGGUGAAGGUAGGGUGGUAAUCCACGGUGAAAAUCCACAUAAGGUAAUCAGUGGGAAUGUCCUUUGUCUAAAUCAAGCCCCAUACAAGUUACAGAUGCAGCAACCAACAGAGGAGAAAGAAGGAUGAAAAGCGGGUGUGAUUACCCUCCGGGGGCAAUCCUCAGUGGGGCUGUGAUCAGCUUUCUUCCCUCCUCUGUUGCCCUACAACGGAAGCCAAGCAUCCACAUUCAGACCGCACGGGAGCUGCGCUCCAGGCAGCCAGCCGGCUCCGACAGAACGACCAGGCACACACUCUCCAAGGCUUCUAGACUUUGGGCGGGCCCCGUGGCUUUGGCUACCAGAGGGCAGCCGCCUCUCACUCCAAACAUCCCAAGAGAGGUAGAUGAUUUAUGACAGGCAUGGCAAGCAAUUGUCAGCUUCUUCUCUCUUCUGCACUUAGGUUUAUUACACAAGUGAGUCUCUGUCAAAUCCAACCCAAAUACAUUGUUAAAGAAAAGGUUGGAAAACCCAGACAAACAAAAAUGAAAGUGAAAACCACCCACAGUCCCAUGAUUUGGAGGCAUUAUUAACACAUGGAACAGAUCCUUGCCUAUUUCUUUCCUGUGAUGUAUAUCCACACACCUAUUUCUUUUUCCGGAAUUAGGUCAUUCUGUACUAUACCAUUGGAUAACUGGGGUUUGGUUUGGUUUCGUUUUUUUCCACUUAAAAGAUGGAUGCCUUUCCAUAGUAAUAAAUAGACACCGUCCAUUUCA